ensembl:snRNA U1 U1 spliceosomal RNA
AUACUUACCUGGCAGGGGAGACACCAUGAUCACGAAGAGGGUUUUCCCAGGGUGAGGUCAUCCGUUACAUUCCGGAUGUGCUGACCCCUGCGAUUUCCCAAAUGUGGGAAACUCAACCGCAUCAUUUGUGGUAGUGAGGGACUAUGUUCGCACUUUCCCCGG